GAAAUUCGAUACGUAGUGUGAAUUGCAGAAUUCAGUGAAUCAUCGAAUCUUUGAACGCACAUUGCGCCCUUUGGUAUUCCAAAGGGCAUGCCUGUUCGAGCGUCAUUUGUACCCUCAAGCUUUGCUUGGUGUUGGGCGUUUUUUGUCUUUGGCUCGCCCAAAGACUCGCCUUAAAACGAUUGGCAGCCGGCCUACUGGUUUCGCAGCGCAGCACAUUUUUGCGCUUGCAAUCAGCAAAAGAGGACGGCAAUCCAUCCAGACUCCUUCUCACGUUUGACCUCGGAUCAGGUAGGGAUACCCGCUGAACUUAAGC
rnacentral:misc_RNA from 1 species